CACGUAGGGGGCGAGCGUUGUCCUGCUUUAUUGCGCGUAAAGAGCUCGUAGGCGGUUCGGCAAGUCGGGUGUGAAAUUUCGAGGCUCAACCUCGAAACGCCACUCGAUACUGCUGUGACUGGAGUCCGGUAGAGGAGUGCGGAAUUCCUGGUGUAGCGGUGAAAUGCGCAGAUAUCAGGAGGAACACCAACGGCGAAGGCAGCACUCUGGGCCGGUACUGACGCUGAGGAGCGAAAGCGUGGGGAGCAAACAGG
rnacentral:rRNA from 1 species